CCCUUAGAUGUCCUGGGCCGCACGCGCGCUACACUGAUGCAUGCAACGAGUUUAUAACCUUGGCCUGAAAGGUCUGGGUAAUCUUUUGAACGUGCAUCGUGAUAGGGAUAGAUUAUUGCAAUUGUUAAUCUUGAACGAGGAAUUCCUAGUAAACGCGAGUCAUCAGCUCGCAUUGAUUACGUCCCUGCCCUUUGUACACACCGCCCGUCGCACCUACCGAUUGAAUGGUUCGGUGAAGAUCUCGGACUUCGAUAUUUAUUCUUUAUUGAGUUUAGAUUGUGGGAAGUUAUCUAAACCUCAUCAUUUAGAGGAAGGUGAAGUCGUAACA
rnacentral:rRNA from 1 species